rnacentral:rRNA from 1 species
CCAAGGAAGGCAGCAGGCGCGCAAAUUACCCACUCCCGGAACGGGGAGGUAGUGACGAAAAAUAACAAUACGGGACUCUUUUGAGACCCCGUAAUUGGAAUGAGCACACUCCAAAUCCUUUAACGAGUACCCAUUGGAGGACAAGUCUGGUGCCAGCACCCGCGGUAACUCCAGCUCCAAUAGCGUAUAUUAAAGUUGUUGCGGUUAAAAAGCUCGUAGUUGGAUCUCAGUGCGAGACGGACGGUCCACCUACCGGUGGUCACUGUCCGGUCUCCACACCAGCCGGUUUCCCUGGAUGAUCUUCACCGGUUGUCUUGGGUGACCGGCAAGUUUACUUUGAAAAAAUUAGAGUGCUCAAAGCAGGCGCGACGCCUGGAUAAUGGUGCAUGGAAUAAUGGAAUAGGACCUCGGUUCUAUUUUGUUGGUUUUAGGAACACGAGGUAAUGAUUAAGAGGGACAGACGGGGGCAUUCGUAUUGCGACGCUAGAGGUGAAAUUCUUGGACCGCCGCACGACGAACUACUGCGAAAGCAUUUGCCAAGAAUGUUUCCAUUAAUCAAGAACGAAAGUUAGAGGUCCGAAGGCGAUCAGAUACCGCCCUAGUUCUAACCAUAAACGAUGCCAGCCAGCGAUCCGGCUGUGUUCCUCAAAUGACACGCCGGGCAGCUUCCGGGAAACCAAAGCUUUUGGGUUCCGGGGGGAGUAUGGUUGCAAAGCUUGAACUUGAAGGAAUUGACGGAAGCGCACACAAGGAAUGGGGCCUGCGGUUUAAUUUGACUCAACACGGUGCAACUCUCCUGGCCCGGACACAGGAAGGAUUGACAGAU